ACUCACCCCGUUCGACGCGCAGCCAAAACGCAACUUGACGUCCCAAAGCCCUGUAUCAAGAAUUGCAUUAAGAGCAAAGAUUGGAGAAAGAGUACAAGGGCACGGCUGCAGCUGGAUGGCAUAAAUGCCAAGAGAGAAGCAGUUAUCACCUGGGAAGAAAGUGCCUGGAGGGCCCUUCUCUCACUCUUCUAGUACUCCACACUGGGUCUGGAGUGGCUAGAAGCACUUCUAAUGGGGGGGGGGAGUGCCUGCCAUGGUCACAACAAGCGCACUUUGCCUGCUGGGAAUGAAGCAGCCAGGAACAGGAAGCACAAGGCUUGUUUUUUCCACUCUCUUGCUAAGAUAGGUGCAGCCGGAAGCUCACAUCCAUAGCAAGCGCCCCCACAGUGCAAGUGCUGCCCACCCUCCUGCUACAAGCACUUCUUUGAGAUUAAACGCUGCCAGAGAUGUCAAA